CUACGGGUGGCUGCAGUAGGGAAUCUUCCGCAAUGGACGAAAGUCUGACGGAGCGACACCGCGUGAAGGAUGAAGCAUUUCGGUGUGUAAACUUCUUUUCUGGGGGAAGAAAAUCUGACGGUACCCCAGGAAUAAGGACCGGCUAAUUACGUGCCAGCAGCCGCGGUAAUACGUAAGGUCCAAACGUUAUCCGGAAUUAUUGGGCGUAAAGCGUCCGCAGGUGGUAGGGGAAGUCUGUCAUCAAAUACCAGAGCUCAACUUUGGUGCUGUGAUGGAAACUCCCUUACUAGAGGAUGGGAGAGGCAUAUGGAAUUGUGCAAGUAGGGGUAAAAUCCGUAGAUAUGCACAGGAACACCAAAAGCGAAGGCAGUAUGCUGGCCCAUUCCUGACACUCAGGGACGAAAGCGUGGGUAGCAAAAGGGAUUAGAUACCCCAGUAGUC
rnacentral:rRNA from 1 species